GACGAACGCUGGCGGCGUGCUUAACACAUGCAAGUCGAACGGAAAGGCCCUGCUUUUGUGGGGUGCUCGGGUGGCGAACGGGUGAGUAACACGUGAGUAACCUGCCCUUGGCUUUGGGAUAACUUCAGGAAACUGGGGCUAAUACCGGAUAGGAGCUCCUGCUGCAUGGUGGGGGUUGGAAAGUUUCGGCGGUUGGGGAUGGACUCGCGGCUUAUCAGCUUGUUGGUGGGGUAGUGGCUUACCAAGGCUUUGACGGGUAGCCGGCCUGAGAGGGUGACCGGCCACAUUGGGACUGAGAUACGGCCCAGACUCCGAAGGGAGGCAGCAGUGGGGAAUAUUGCACAAUGGGCGGAAGCCUGAUGCAGCAACGCCGCGUGCGGGAUGACGGCCUUCGGGUUGUAAACCGCUUUCGCCUGUGACGAAGCGUGAGUGACGGUAAUGGGUAAAGAAGCACCGGCUAACUACGUG
rnacentral:rRNA from 1 species